CGGGAUAGCUCAGCUGGUAGAGCAGAGAC
rnacentral:tRNA from 1 species